rnacentral:lncRNA from 1 species
UGUAGGAUGGGCAAGGAUACUUAGAAGAUCUAGUAAAGGAUAUUGUUCAGUGGCUCAAUGCUUCAUCUGGAAUGAAACCUGAAAGAAGUCUUCAAAAUAAUGGUUUAUUGACCACCCUUAGUCAACACUACUUUUUAUUUAUUGGAACACUUUCUUGCCACCCUCAUGGAGUUAAAAUGCUGGAAAAAUGCAGUGUAUUUCAGUGUCUCCUUAAUCUUUGCUCCUUGAAAAACCAAGAUCACUUGCUAAAACUUACUGUUUCUAGCUUGGACUAUAGCAGAGAUGGAUUGGCUAGAGUCAUCCUUUCCAAAAUUUUAACUGCAGCUACUGAUGCCUGCAGACUCUAUGCAACAAAACAUUUAAGGGUAUUAUUGAGAGCUAAUGUUGAAUUCUUUAAUAAUUGGGGAAUUGAGUUGUUAGUGACCCAGCUACAUGAUAAAAACAAAACAAUUUCCUCUGAAGCUCUUGAUAUCCUCGAUGAAGCAUGUGAAGACAAGGCCAAUCUUCAUGCUCUCAUUCAGAUGAAACCAGCGUUAUCCCACCUUGGAGACAAGGGUUUGCUUCUCCUGCU